rnacentral:rRNA from 1 species
GGGUGCCUACGGGAGGCAGCAGUGAGGAAUAUUGGUCAAUGGGCGAGAGCCUGAACCAGCGAAGUCGCGUGAGGGAAGACGGUUCUAUGGAUUGUAAACCUCUUUUGCCGGGGAGCAAAAAGCGGUACGUGUACCGCAUCGAGAGUACCCGGAGAAAAAGCAUCGGCUAACUCCGUGCCAGCAGCCGCGGUAAUACGGAGGAUGCGAGCGUUAUCCGGAUUUAUUGGGUUUAAAGGGUGCGCAGGCGGCGAGUUAAGCCAGCGGUAAAAUUUCGUGGCUCAACCCCGACGAGCCGUUGAAACUGA